UACGUAGGGUGCAAGCGUUGUCCGGAAUUAUUGGGCGUAAAGAGCUCGUAGGCGGUUUGUCGCGUCUGCUGUGAAAUCCCCGGGCUUAACCUGGGAAUGGCAUUUGGGACUGCAAGGCUUGAGUGCGGCAGAGGAGACUAGAAUUCCUGGUGUAGCAGUGAAAUGCGUAGAUAUCAGGAGGAAUACCGAUGGCGAAGGCAGGUCUCUGGGCUGACACUGACGCUCAUGCACGAAAGCGUGGGGAGCAAACAGG
rnacentral:rRNA from 1 species